CGUCUGCACGGAACCUUUGCCGAAAGAUUUUUCACCCAGAAUAAUCGCCCGUUUAUGAUCCUGCAAUGCGCCGGCCACAAUUUCCGAGGCUGAAGCCGAACCGUCAUUGAUAAUCACCACAAUCGGCAGCCCUUUGGCAAUAUCGCCUUCUUUGGCGGUGUAUUUGACUGUAUCUUCUUCAUUGCGUGAACGGGUCGAAACGAUUUCACCCUUAUCCAGGAACAAAUCGGAAACGUUGACUGCCUGGUCAAGCAGGCCGCCCGGAUUGUUGCGUA
rnacentral:ncRNA from 2 species